UCUCCGUUGGUGAACCAGCGGAGGGAUCAUUACCGAAGUUACUCUUCAUACCCUUUUGUGAACACUACCCCAUUGCCGCGCGUUGCCUCGGCGGGGGAGGUCCGGGGGAGGGUUGCGCUCCGGCGCCUCCCCACCCUGGGCCCCCCGCCGGCCGCGCCGAACUCUUCAUUUGCAAAGCGGACUGUACGUUCUGAUUAUAUCUUGAAAAAACAAGUCAAAACUUUCAACAACGGAUCUCUUGGUUCUG
rnacentral:misc_RNA from 1 species